rnacentral:rRNA from 1 species
AACGAACGCUGGCGGCAUGCCUAACACAUGCAAGUCGAACGAGACCUUCGGGUCUAGUUGCGCACGGGUGCGUAACGCGUGGGAACCUGCCCUUAGGUUCGGGAUAACUCCCCGAAAGGGGUGCUAAUACCGGAUAAUGUCUGCUGACCAAAGAUUUAUCGCCUUUGGAUGGGCCCGCGUUGGUUUAGCUAGUUGGUAGGGUAAAAGCCUACCAAGGCGACGAUCCAUAGCUGGUCUGAGAGGAUGAUCAGCCACACUGGGACUGAGACACGGCCCAGACUACUACGGGAGGCAGCAGUGGGGAAUAUUGGAAAAUGGGCGAAAGCCUGAUCCAGCAAUGCCGCGUGAGUGAUGAAGGCCUUAGGGUUGUAAAGCUCUUUUACCCGGGAUGAUAAUGACAGUACCGGGAGAAUAAGCUCCGGCUAACUCCGUG